rnacentral:rRNA from 1 species
AACGCGAAGAACCUUACCCAGACUUGACAUCCCUGGAAUCCCGUGGAGACACGGGAGUGCCCGCAAGGGAGCCGGGAGACAGGUGCUGCAUGGCUGUCGUCAGCUCGUGUCGUGAGAUGUUGGGUUAAGUCCCGCAACGAGCGCAACCCUCGCCUUCAGUUGCCAUCAUUCAGUUGGGCACUCUGGAGGGACUGCCGGUGUCAAGCCGGAGGAAGGUGGGGAUGACGUCAAGUCCUCAUGGCCUUUAUGUCUGGGGCUACACACGUGCUACAAUGGUCGGUACAGAGGGACGCAAGGGCGCGAGCCGGAGCCAAUCUCAGAAAACCGACCCCAGUUCGGAUCGAAGUCUGCAACUCGACUUCGUGAAGUCGGAAUCGCUAGUAAUCGCGGAUCAGAACGCCGCGGUGAAUACGUUCCCGGGCCUUGUACACACCGCGCAUA